CCUACGGGCGGCAGCAGUGGGGAAUAUUGGACAAUGGGCGAAAGCCUGAUCCAGCCAUGCCGCGUGUGUGAAGAAGGCCUUCGGGUUGUAAAGCACUUUCAGUGGGGAAGAAAGCCUUGGGGCUAAUACCCUCGAGGAAGGACAUCACCCACAGAAGAAGCACCGGCUAACUCCGUGCCAGCAGCCGCGGUAAUACGGAGGGUGCGAGCGUUAAUCGGAAUUACUGGGCGUAAAGCGCGCGUAGGCGGUCUGAUAAGCCGGUUGUGAAAGCCCCGGGCUCAACCUGGGAACGGCAUCCGGAACUGUCAGGCUAGAGUGCAGGAGAGGAAGGUAGAAUUCCCGGUGUAGCGGUGAAAUGCGUAGAGAUCGGGAGGAAUCCCAGUGGCGAAGGCGGCCUUCUGGACUGACACUGACGCUGAGGUGCGAAAGCGUGGGUAGCAAACAGGAUUAGAUACCCCAGUAGUC
rnacentral:rRNA from 1 species